ensembl:lncRNA
CAUCGGAGCCGGGCGGGGCCGGGAUCCCGGGAAUCCCCAAAUCCCCGGGAAGCGCCGGAGGAGUGGCCCAGGCGGCGCUGGAGGACGUGGAGACCCUGCGGCUCCUGAUUGUCCGGAGGCUCCGGCCGGGCCGGGAUCCCCGUCCCGACGAUGACGUCACCCCCACGGCCUCGCUGGCCGGAGCGGCGCUCCCGGGCUCCGGCCGGGAAUUCCCGGGCUCCAAACAGGAAUUCCCAGGGUCCGGCCGGGAUUCAGCCACAUCCAGCCGGGAAUUCCCAAUGUCCGGCCGGGAAUUCCCGGGCUCCAAACAGGAAUUCCCAAUGUCCAGCUGGGAUUCAGCCACAUCCAGCUGGGAAUUCCCGGGCUCCAAACAGGAAUUCCCGGGGUCCAAACAGGAAUUCCCAGUGUCCAGGCAGGAAUUCCCGGUGUCCGGCCGGGAUUCAGCCAUGUCCAAACAGGAAUUCCCGGUGUCCGGGCAGGAAUUCCCAGUGUCCAAACAGGAAUUGUCCAAACAGGAAUUCCCGGUGUCCGGGCAGGAAUUCCCAGUGUCCAAACAGGAAUUCCCAAUGUCCGGCCGGGAAUUCCCAAUGUCCAGCGGGGAUUUGGGAAUGUCCGGGCAGGAAUUCCCGGGCUCCGGCCAGGAAUUCCCGGUGUCCAGCCGGGAUUCAGCCACAUCCAGCCGGGAAUUCCCAAUGUCCGGCCGGGAAUUCCCAAUGUCCGGCCAGGAAUUCCCAAUGUCCAGGCAGGAAUUCCCAAUGUCCAGCCGGGAUUUGGGAAUGUCCGGCCGGGAAUUCCCAGUGUCCGGCCGGGAUUCAGCCACAUCCAGGCAGGAAUUCCCAAUGUCCAGCCGGGAUUCAGGAAUGUCCGGCCAGGAAUUCCCAAUGUCCAGUCGGGAUUCAGCCACAUCCAGGCAGGAAUUCCCAAAGUCCAGCGGGGAUUCGGGAAUGUCCAGCCGGGAAUUCCCAAAGUCCAGCCGGGAUUCAGCCGUGUCCAGUCGGAAUUUGGCCGCAUCCGGCCGGGAAUUCCCAAUGUCCGGGCAGGAAUUCCCAAAGUCCAGCCAGGAAUUCCCGGUGUCCGGCCGGGAUUCAGCCGUGUCCAGUCAAGAAUUCCCGAUGUCCGGGCAGGAAUCUCCAAAGUCCAGGCAGGAAUUCCCGAUUUCCAGACAGGAAUUCCCGGUGUCCGGCCGGGAUUCAGCCAUGUCCAGGCAGGAAUUCCCAAUGUCCAGCCAGGAAUUCCCGAUGUCCAGCCGGGAAUUCCCAAUGUCCAGUCAAGAAUUCCCAAUGUCCAGCCGGGAUUCGGGAAUGUCUGGCCGGGAUUCAGCCGUGUCCAGUCAAGAAUUCCCGAUGUCCAGUCAAGAAUUCCCGAUGUCCAGGCAGGAAUUCCCAAUGUCCAGCCGGGAUUCAGCCGUGUCCAGUCAAGAAUUCCCGAUGUCCAGCCAGGAAUUCCCGAUGUCCAGCCGGGAAUUCCCAAUGUCCAGCCGGGAUUCGGGAAUGUCCGGCCGGGAAUCCCGGGAAGAGCCGGAGCCCAGCGGGAUCCAAAUCAAGCGGAAAGCCCAGGAGGAGGGGCCUGAGGAGGCCACGCCCCCGAGCGGCUGCAGCCAAUCAGAGCGCGAGCUGCGGGAAG